GUGCUUAAAUUGCUUUAGAAGUCCUUCUUAACAAAUAUCCAUAAUUCAGGUUUUUCUCUUUUUUCAAUUAUUAUAUGGCUGAAGCUGCUAUUUCUAGAAGUAAAAAAACACAAAACCAAACAAAACAUCUCAAUGCUGGUAUAAGAGCAGAAUUGAUUGAAUGUGAGACUCAGGGCAGAAGAAGUAGGUGGAGCUCAGUUUUGCCUUUAACAAGUAUUCUAAUUCAAUUUAUGCAUCUGCUCAGGUGAUAUUAAUUUGAUAUCCAAGACAUCACUUACAAGUCACAUCUCUAUGUUCUGAUGGAGAAUCAGCAUUGCACAGACCCAACCCAAAUGCUGUUUCAGAAAAAA